GUUCACUUCAGCAGCACAUAUACUAAGAUUGGAAUGAUAGAGAGGAGACUCGCAUGGUCCCUGCACAAGAAUGAAAUUAGGGAGCUUGCUAUCACCAGCUUUGUU